GGCCUGGCGGCCUGUAUCAUGCCACUUUCGCGAUUAACCACUUCGGUGGGGAUUAUUGGCGAACGGGUGAGUAACACGUGCGCAAUCUGCCCUGCACUCUGUUUCAAGCCCUGAACACACCCGUGAAUACCGGAUAUUGACCUUCACGGGCAUCUGUGAGGUUCGAAAGCUCCGGCGGUGCAGGAUGAGCCCGCGGCCUAUCAGCUUGUUGAUGAGUUAAUGCCUCACCAAGGCGACGACGGGUUUCCGGCUUGAGAGGGCGCCGGGCCCAACUGUGACUAACCCAGGAUCAACUUUUCUCGGGGGGCAGCAGUGGGGAAUAUUGCACAAUGGGCGAAAGCCUGAUGCAGCGACGCCGCGUGAGGGAUGACGGCCUUCGGGUUGUAAACCUCUUUCAGCAGGGAGGAAGCAAAAGUGACGGUAUCUGCAGAAUAUUCGCCGCAUAACUACAUGCGAGCAGCCGCGGGAAUUCGUCCGGC
rnacentral:rRNA from 1 species